AGCAGCGUGGCUCAGUGGCAAGAGCCCGGGCUUGGGAGUCAGAGGUCAUGGGUUCGAAUCCUGGCUCUGCUA
rnacentral:tRNA from 1 species